rnacentral:lncRNA from 1 species
AUCUAGGAACUGGAGCUGCUGCCUCUGUCUGCUAAGAUGUGAAGUCCAAGACUGAAAGUAACAUAGCAGAAGGAGAACCAAAAGAUAUGUUGAGUCUUGAUGCUAUUUGUUGAACCAGUCCUGAAUCCAGCUGUGUCGGAGUCAGCGCAGCUUUUGAAGCUGGAGAGCAUCAUAUUUUAGAAAGAUCAAGCAAUGUGGAUGAGGACACAUUAAAAAGAGAAGACCGAGAGGAGGGGACACCACUCAGGCUUAUAACCUCCAGCUCACAUUUCAGCACCAAAGGACCAAAGCCUAGACCUGAGAUCUGGCACUUGCAAAAAGAAAGAUCACCUGGAAGAACAAAAUAGAAGACUCCUGCUCCCAAUAGGCUUGGGUCAGGAAGAAGGCUGUUGGCAUAAUUGUGGAGUAGGAAGAUGGAAAACAACUCCUAGAGAUCCCAACAGCUGAACGCGUGCUUGGGCAGUGGCUGCGGGUGAAGUCAUGGGAAGGCAAGUCAUGAAGGGCAUUAAUCAAGGAUAUGUUCUGGGAGUAACUCCCCUGCUUUCCCUGGAUGUGUGCGAGAAAGCAUAGGCAUCCACUUUCUGACCAACAGGAGACCCAGUCUCAGGAUGGAGCAGACACCAUGCAUGGUAGAGCAGAGAGACAGAUACAACCUAGGUCCUUGAUGAAAUGAUUGGCCACUGGAUCAGCCACAGUUAAAGACUGCCUACCUUUGGACUUCUGGUUAUCUUAGGCCAAAAAUGUCCUUUUUGUUUAAGGCACUUUGAGCCGGGUUUUCUAAGACCUAGCAGUCUCAACCAUCCAAACUAAUAAGCUGAAUUAACUAGAUUUCCUGUCAUGUCCUUCCUGCCUGAUUGGUAGCCCUUGACUCCAAUUUGGCCUCAUUUUCCGUACCUUACUGGCUGCCUUUUCCUCUACUCAUAGGUCACUUGGAAAUAAAAUAUAGAUUUACUUCAAAAAAAAAAAAAAAAAA